CCAGUGCCAGCUCAAGCAUGCCAGGGAAGACAAUAGAGAACCACUGAGGGAUGCCACCGCGAUGCUCCAUCAGAAGUUUCACCAUGUUUGCACGAAGAAAUCCUAAUCCUAAUAAAAAUGGAAGCUUAUGUCAAGAGGUGAGACAACAGAGGACGAUCAUGGUAAACCAGUAGGAGCAUACUCUAGACUCGACGUAGUUCUUCUUCCACCAAAUAUAUCAUGGUGGCUAGCAAUAGUUUGAUUCACAAUGAACAUCCCUUGCAACCCAGCUGAACCAUAGCAAAUCCUUAAAGAUCUACCACAUGCAUAUAGUGGUAGUUUGACUUGUAAGUUAGGGCUUGUCCUUUCUUUGAAUCAGACUUUGCUUUCUGAUGCAUAUAGUGCAAUACUGUAGUUUGACUUUUGUUUGCAAGAAAUAAAAUGACAGUUCGGUACUUGUACUCA